rnacentral:rRNA from 1 species
CCUACGGGCGGCAGCAGUGGGGAAUAUUGGACAAUGGGCGAAAGCCUGAUCCAGCCAUGCCGCGUGUGUGAAGAAGGCCUUCGGGUUGUAAAGCACUUUCAGUGGGGAAGAAAGCCUUGGGGCUAAUACCCUCGAGGAAGGACAUCACCCACAGAAGAAGCACCGGCUAACUCCGUGCCAGCAGCCGCGGUAAUACGGAGGGUGCGAGCGUUAAUCGGAAUUACUGGGCGUAAAGCGCGCGUAGGCGGUCUGAUAAGCCGGUUGGGAAAGCCCCGGGCUCAACCUGGGAACGGCAUCCGGAACUGUCAGGCUAGAGUGCAGGAGAGGAAGGUAGAAUUCCCGGUGUAGCGGUGAAAUGCGUAGAGAUCGGGAGGAAUACCAGUGGCGAAGGCGGCCUUCUGGACUGACACUGACGCUGAGGUGCGAAAGCGUGGGUAGCAAACAGGAUUAGAUACCCGAGUAGC